GCGGCAGGUUGGUCCUGGAGCAGAUGAGCGCAGAAUAUUUAGGCGAAAGCGCGAGGAGGGGGGGAGCGCGGGGCAGGAGGAGUAUCUCGGCCAAGAAAAUUAUGCAUGCGUUAGGGAAGCUCUGAGAGAAUGGCUGUGGAAGCUCCCUCUUAACCCGCGCACCCCAAUACACACAUCCCUGAUGAAGCUUGGGGAACGUGGGGAGGAGAGGAAUGGGGUGGUGGCGAGCGGGCCCUUUCCUCUUACACCUCUUGGCACCUCACCUGAGCCACGGAAGGCCAGUAGACGCUUUAGUCACUUGCUUUGGAAAGACACGUAGAUGCGCAGGACUCUAGGUUUGGAGGCGAAGAGUGUCCCUAAUGCGAAACGAUGUGCUGGAAAUGGGGUAAAGCCCGAGAGAUUGGCAUGAGAUCUCAGCCCCGAGGUACCUUCUUCGCUGCGCUCUCCCGCCGGGGCCCGCUGGGUAGCCUCGAGGUUUGUGAUGCUCGCUUUGCCCCCCCCCUCCCCCGCCACACGUGAGAGAAGACCCUCGCCAGGUGCGUCAUUGGGAAGCAUGGGCUGCUCUUGGGUCGAGGGGCCCCUGUCGUGUGUAUCUGGCAGCGACAGCAGCAGACGUACUUACAGGGUGGAGGUGGCCUUACACCUGCCUCUGUUUAUACAACCCUCCCAAGGUUAGCAAACUUUACAGAAACGAAAUGGAAUCAGCCAGUGAUAAGAAGGACGUCCAACCUCUUCGAUUGAUUGAAUUGAAUCCUUUUCUUUGAAGCCCGCCUUCCUCUUUUCUCCUCUAAUUUCGGCCUUCAGCUUUGCAGUUUGGGCUCUAUGAUCCUGCUUCGUUUGAACUUCCUGGCUGAAAGCAGGGACAGGCAGUUUGUGUGGGAUUCCAAGUUUUCAUUUCAGACUCUCCCACCCUGGAAGAAAGGCUUUCUUAUUGAGGGUAGUUUCAGGGCAAAAAUAUGUGGGCCAGGUGUGUUUGUAAUGUCACAUUAGCGGGUCAAAUUGUACCUGAAAGAUAAAAUGAAAUCGUGGGACUAAAGAGGAGCCUAAGUCCACCUACAGAAUUAUGGUUCCUGAGUGGUGGCUCAGGUCAGAGGGGAAAUGGGUGUUGGAGGAAGAGGGCAUGCCUGCCAGCUACAUCAGCCUCCUUGCCAAGGGGAAAUGAGCCUGUUCUGGGAGGCCGAAGGCAAGAAGGAACCACAAGGCUUGCUGGCAGUCCCUCUCCCUUCCCCGCCCCAGGUGAGAGAAGCUAAACUAAUUUAACUUUUGCUCGCUUUGUAACUACUUAACAACUUGAUGUAGCAACAACCCAGCUUCUGUGGUCAGCACUCAUUACCUCCGGACACUGUUGCUUUGGGGCUGUCUAGGGUUCAGAGAUCCCCAGCUGGACAGUUCUCUCUACCUACCUUUCAUACAUAUAAUUUAAAACUCUCUCUCCUCUCUCUCUCUAUGUGUGUGUGUGUGUGUGUGUGUGUGUAUGAUGAUCUCAUAUAUAUGAUCUUAUAUAUCCUAUAUAUCACACAUAUAUAUCACCUAUAGCUCAUGUAUAAUUCAUAUAUGGCUUUGAAAAAGCAAUAAAUUUUCUUUACUGUGCAGUUAUAAUAAUAGAGUGCAAAUCUGGCUUUUUGCAUUGUUGCAGUUGAUGGUAGCUGAGACAAGACUUUAGAUGAAAACAAUAAUAAUCAAGAAAAAGUUCAUUCUGAGCUUGAGGCCAAGGGUAAGCUGACCUCCUGGCACCUCGCUACCUCAUCCCUCAGAUGACAUUCUCUCUUCUCCUCCCCACUCUUCUGUGUCCUCCGGUAAAGGGCACUCCCAUCAGUUGCCAGUCCAUGGUCUACUUGAAAACACUUUCCUGCUCACUGGAAGAAGUAUAGGAUUAGUCAUAUUUCUUGUCUGAUGGGUUAUUAUACCAGUGAAGCCAGACCUUACAAAAACAAAGGCUUUGGAAGGAAGUGUCCCUGGAUGGCAGAAAGCUUUAUUUUCUAGCGACUUGUUUGGUUAAAGCGCCUGUCUGGUAAACAGGAGAUCCUGAGCUUGAAUCACAGCGAGGUCUCAACUGGAAUAAAGGGAAUAUUUUGAACUUUGGCUGUAAAUAGGAUUCCUAUCUCAGGUCUUGGCAAAGGCAGUUUUCUCAGUUUGAACCUGGCUGUUCCUGGCUACUCUCAGUUGGUCUUUCAAGGCUCAGGGAAAACUGCAUUUCCUCUGGGAACCUGUCCCAGCCCUCCCUUCCCUCUGCCUUCUGAGUGCUCUGCCCUAGUCUGGGGGGAGGUGUCUCCCUCAGAGCUCCCAUGCUUGCAUCUAUCCUAACAUCAUAUUUAAUGUCUCUUACUAGACUCUAAGACCACAGCCCUUUGACUUUAUACUCCCUUCUGAUAGCACACUAUGUGAUCCAUGAUAGGUGCUCCGUAAAUGCUCAUAGAAUGUAUGGGGAAUAAAUCCACGGAACUCUUGUGGCUGACUCCAUAAGGGUGCAUGGGACUUUCUUAGGAGCUCAAAUGCCCUCAAAAAAGGGACUUUUGAGAGGUUUGAAGGUGGGAGACACUUUUAAAAGAAGUGCCCCUCUCUUCAGUCUUCUGAUGCUCAAAAAGAUUCUUCUAGAGCAGUGGCUAUCAUCUAAAGGGGACAUUGUCCUCCUAGGGCAUAUUUGAGAUAUGUAGGCACUGUUAUUGGGGGCUGCUAUUGGUAUUUUGUGCCCCUGGGCCAGGUAUUCUAAAUGUCCUGCAUUGCAUGGCUGUCCCAAAACCACAUAGGGGCCAGUUUCCCCAAGCUCACUGAGAGACACUGAUUCAGAGAAUGAGGAAUUUUGCCAGAGGAAAUGGAAUAGGAAAUAUAAUCAGGCUACUGAACAUCUGAGGUUUAGUUUCUGCAUCGGGGGGAGAAAAAUGGGCCCAGUUCUGUUUAGGUCCCACUGAAGUUGUGAAGACCGAGUAAAGAAAAGGGCUUAUAAGCGGUGCUUAGAACAUGAAUUCUCAGGAAGUGUUGUUGGUACUCCCUCCCAUCCUUCUCCUUUUAGGAAGCUGUUAGGAACCUGUUUUGUAUCCUGAAUUUUCACUUAUUCACACCACUUUUUGUAAUUAGUAACAAAUUAGAAGGUUUGUUUUUCUGACAAUGUGUAACCUGUUUUCUUAAGUAAGCUUGAGUUUGUAAAAGUGAUAAGAACAAGUAGCAGGCUCACUGGUUUUGUUGAACUUGUAGCUUUGCAUUUAAGAUGACAAAAGAGGUGCCCUCUUUAUUUUAUGGCUAUCCUGGGUUAGAUUUUCUUUGAAUUAAUGACAACAUUCUAUGCCUGUUCUCUGACCUGGUUGUGUUCAAGCCUUGCAUUUAUGGACAGCUCGGUGACUAAGAGCUGUGCUUUCCAGCCACAGAACAUGUAAUCGUCUGCAUUCAGAUUAGGAUUGUGUUGGCCCCAUUGUCUUUC
rnacentral:lncRNA from 1 species